rnacentral:rRNA from 1 species
ACGGGAGACACACGGCGGGUGCUAACGUCCGUCGUGAAGAGGGAAACAACCCAGACCGCCAGCUAAGGUCCCAAAGUCAUGGUUAAGUGGGAAACGAUGUGGGAAGGCCCAGACAGCCAGGAUGUUGGCUUAGAAGCAGCCAUCAUUUAAAGAAAGCGUAAUAGCUCACUGGUCGAGUCGGCCUGCGCGGAAGAUGUAACGGGGCUAAACCAUGCACCGAAGCUGCGGCAGCGACACUAUGUGUUGUUGGGUAGGGGAGCGUUCUGUAAGCCUGUGAAGGUGUGCUGUGAGGCAUGCUGGAGGUAUCAGAAGUGCGAAUGCUGACAUAAGUAACGAUAAAGCGGGUGAAAAGCCCGCUCGCCGGAAGACCAAGGGUUCCUGUCCAACGUUAAUCGGGGCAGGGUGAGUCGACCCCUAAGGCGAGGCCGAAAGGCGUAGUCGAUGGGAAACAGGUUAAUAUUCCUGUACUUGGUGUUACUGCGAAGGGGGGACGGAGAAGGCUAUGUUGGCCGGGCGACGGUUGUCCCGGUUUAAGCGUGUAGGCUGAUUUUCCAGGCAAAUCCGGAAAAUCAAGGCUGAGGCGUGAUGACGAGGCACUACGGUGCUGAAGCAACAAAUGCCCUGCUUCCAGGAAAAGCCUCUAAGCAUCAGGUAACAUCAAAUCGUACCCCAAACCGACACAGGUGGUCAGGUAGAGAAUACCAAGGCGCUUGAGAGAACUCGGGUGAAGGAACUAGGCAAAAUGGUGCCGUAACUUCGGGAGAAGGCACGCUGAUAUGUAGGUGAAGCGACUUGCUCGUGGAGCUGAAAUCAGUCGAAGAUACCAGCUGGCUGCAACUGUUUAUUAAAAACACAGCACUGUGCAAACACGAAAGUGGACGUAUACGGUGUGACGCCUGCCCGGUGCCGGAAGGUUAAUUGAUGGGGUUAGCGGUAACGCGAAGCUCUUGAUCGAAGCCCCGGUAAACGGCGGCCGUAACUAUAACGGUCCUAAGGUAGCGAAAUUCCUUGUCGGGUAAGUUCCGACCUGCACGAAUGGCGUAAUGAUGGCCAGGCUGUCUCCACCCGAGACUCAGUGAAAUUGAACUCGCUGUGAAGAUGCAGUGUACCCGCGGCAAGACGGAAAGACCCCGUGAACCUUUACUAUAGCUUGACACUGAACAUUGAGCCUUGAUGUGUAGGAUAGGUGGGAGGCUUUGAAGUGUGGACGCCAGUCUGCAUGGAGCCGACCUUGAAAUACCACCCUUUAAUGUUUGAUGUUCUAACGUUG